CUUCUCUGACAUGUGUUUUUCUUCUCCGUACGCCAUUCCACGCUCAUUCAACUCACCUUAUCUAAAAUUCAAUUAGCUCUCACUCAACACACACACAGGUAAAACAAGCACAGUACUCUUCUAUUCUUCAGCUUUCGUUCGUUCGCAAAUGAAGCACUGGCACUAAGCUCCAAAUGGGUGAGCAACAGAUUUCAGUAUGGUGCGAUUUCGUGUUAAGAACGUGUGUGAUUUUAUUAAAGCGCUCUCUCUAGUGGUGGGCUAACAUUUGUUUUUGUUAGUUUAUUUUCCUUCAACUGUACAUUGUAUUUGCUUGUAUACGUCAACGACAUCGUGAUUGAAAGCAAAAAUAAAAAAAAUAACUAAAUAACCGAAACACUUUUUUGUGAGGUGACCUCCCGCACACGCGCUACACCCUUUUACAGCGUUGGCAGCGCGCUAAAAUAUUUGCGCUUUCACUUUCGGUUGGUCGCUGUCGCAUUUGUGAAAAAUUACAUUCGUGUAAAUCAUAAAAAAGAAACCAAAAAUAGACAAAGAACAAAGUGUGUCAAAAAUCAUAGAAGUGUAUAAAAAAACAACAACAACAAAAAUUAUAGAAGUGUACUAAAAAAACAA